rnacentral:rRNA from 1 species
AAAUGUGUGAAAUCUUGGCACCUUCGGUGUCCGAGUUUGUAAUUUGAAGAAGGUAACCUUGGGUUUGGUCUCUUGUCUAUGUUUCUUGGAACAGAACGUCACAGAGGGUGAGAAUCCCGUGCGAUGAGAUGCCCAAAUUCUAUGUAAGGUGCUUUCGAAGAGUCGAGUUGUUUGGGAAUGCAGCUCUUAAUAGUGGUGUGUUUAAAUUCCAUCUAAAGCUAAAUAUUGGCGAGUAGACCUGAUAGCGAACAAGUACAGUGAUGGA